rfam:Lactobacillus vaccinostercus DSM 20634 NODE_7, whole genome shotgun sequence.
UCGCAACUGCAACCGCACGCAAACAAGUUUAAAGCAUUCUGCUGCUUGUACGGCGAGUCUAAGAUAUUAA